CUCCAGACUCCUACGGGAGGCAGCAGUGGGGAAUUUUGGACAAUGGGCGCAAGCCUGAUCCAGCUAUUCCGCGUGUGGGAAGACGGCCUUCGGGUUGUAAACCACUUUUGUAGAGAACGAAAAGUCUGUUGAUAAUACCGAUAGACGAUGACGGUACUCUAAGAAUAAGCAUCGGCUAACUCCGUGCCAGCAGCCGCGGUAAUACGGAGGAUGCGAGCGUUAUCCGGAUUUAUUGGGUUUAAAGGGUGCGUAGGCAGUUUUUUAAGUUAGUGGUUAAACGUCGGGGCUUCACCUUGAUUUGCCAUUAAUACUGUAAGACUCGAGUUCAGACGAGGUAGGCGGAAUAAGUUAAGUAGCGGUGAAAUGCUUAGAUAUAACUUAGAACUCCGAUAGCGAAGGCAGCUUACCAGACUGCGACUGACGCUGAAGCACGAGAGCGUGGGUAGCGAACAGGAUUAGAUACCCUAGUA
rnacentral:rRNA from 1 species